rnacentral:rRNA from 1 species
UAAACGACUCUCUACAACGGAUAUCUCGGCUCUCGCAUCGAUGAAGAACGUAGCAAAAUGCGAUACUUGGUGUGAAUUACAGAAUCCCGUGAACCAUCGAGUCUUUGAACGCAAGUUGCACCCGAAGCCAUUAGGCCGAGGGCACGUCUACCUG